rnacentral:rRNA from 1 species
AACGAACGCUGGCGGCAGGCCUAACACAUGCAAGUCGAACGCGCGUAGCAAUACGCGAGUGGCGCACGGGUGAGUAACACGUGGGAAUCUACCCAGAGGUUCGGAAUAACCGCGGGAAACUGCGGCUAAUACCGGAUGUCCCCUACGGGGGAAAGAUUUAUCGCCUUUGGACGAGCCCGCGUCCGAUUAGCUAGUUGGUGAGGUAAUGGCUCACCAAGGCUACGAUCGGUAGCUGGUCNGAGAGGACGACCAGCCACACUGGAACUGAGACACGGUCCAGACUCCUACGGGAGGCAGCAGUGGGGAAUAUUGGGCAAUGGAGGCAACUCUGACCCAGCCAUGCCGCGUGGGUGACGAAGGUCUUCGGAUUGUAAAGCCCUUUCGGCGGGACGAUGAUGACGGUACCCGCAGAAGAA